GACGAACGCUGGUGGCGUGCCUAAUACAUGCAAGUCGAGCGGACCAAUAGAAGCUUGCUUCUGUUGGUUAGCGGCGGACGGGUGAGUAACACGUGGGCAACCUGCCUGUAAGACUGGGAUAACUUCGGGAAACCGGAGCUAAUACCGGAUAAUUCAUCCCCUCGCAUGAGGGGAUGCUGAAAGUCGGUUUACGCUGACACUUACAGAUGGGCCCGCGGCGCAUUAGCUAGUUGGUGAGGUAAUGGCUCACCAAGGCGACGAUGCGUAGCCGACCUGGGAGGGUGAUCGGCCACACGGGGACUGAGACACGGCCCAGACUCCUACGGGAGGCAGCAGUAGGGAAUCUUCCACAAUGGACGAAAGUCUGAUGGAGCAACGCCGCGUGAGCGAUGAAGGCCUUCGGGUCGUAAAGCUCUGUUGUUAGGGAAGAACAAGUAUCGGAGUAACUGCCGGUACCUUGACGGUACCUAACCAGAAAGCCACGGCUAACUACGUGCCAGCAGCCGCCGUAA
rnacentral:rRNA from 1 species